rnacentral:rRNA from 1 species
UACGGGGGGAGCAAGCGUUGUUCGGAUUUACUGGGCGUAAAGGGCGCGUAGGCGGCGUGACAAGUCACUUGUGAAAUCUCCCGGGCUUAACUCGGAACGGUCAAGUGAUACUGUCGUGCUAGAGUACAGAAGGGCAACUGGAAUUCUCGGUGUAGCGGUGAAAUGCGUAGAUAUCGAGAGGAACACCUGCGGCGAAGCGGGUUGCUGGGCUGAUACUGACGCUGAGGCGCGAAAGCUAGGGAGCGAACAGG